rnacentral:rRNA from 1 species
AACGAACGCUGGCGGCAGGCCUAACACAUGCCAGUCGAGCGCCCCGCAAGGGGAGCGGCGGCCGGGUGAGUAACGCGUGGGAAUAUGCCCUUUGCUACGGAAUAGUCUCGGGAAACUGGGGGUAAUACCGUAUACGCCCUUUGGGGGAAAGAUUUAUCGGCGAAGGAUUAGCCCGCGUUGGAUUAGGUAGUUGGUGGGGUAAUGGCCUACCAAGCCGACGAUCCAUAGCUGGUUUGAGAGGAUGAUCAGCCACACUGGGACUGAGACACGGCCCAGACUCCUACGGGAGGCAGCAGUGGGGAAUCUUAGACAAUGGGGGCAACCCUGAUCUAGCCAUGCCGCGUGAGUGAUGAAGGCCUUAGGGUUGUAAAGCUCUUUCAGCUGGGAAGAUAAUGACGGUACCAGCAGAAGAAGCCCCGGCUAACUCCGUG